ACGACCAGAAGGAAAAUCCUUCUCCCCUCUCAGCACUGGGAGGACAAGAUCCUGGAGUGGGAGGUAUCCAGGUUGGCAGAGCAAGAGGAGAAGCCAUCUGAGAAAGCAGUCAACACAGAGGAAGCCAAGAAAAUCCUGAGUCGUGACUGAAAAAAGGAAAUGGGCCCCACAAAGAAUGGGACCAUGCCAUAAACAGCAGGACCCCACUGUGUUCGCAAAGCGAGGGAGGCAGAGUAGAGCCCCCAACACGCCCUGGGAAGAGGUCGGGUUCUGCGGCCAGGAGAUUUAAGGCGGCAUAUGUAAGUGAGCGUGCGAAUCAACAGAAUGUUAAGAUAGGGAAAUGAUCCCGGAUUACCAGAGCGGGGCCGACGUGAUCACAGAGGACUUCUGUGUGCAAGCGGGAGGCAGGAGGCCCUGCAGCUCUGGGGAUGGAGGCAUGAGCCAGAAGCCACGAGGGAGGGUGCCUCCGGAGGAUGGAAAAGGCAAGGGAGACACUCUCCUCCGGUGCCUCUGGGAGGAACACAGCCGGUACACCUUGACUAUUGCUCAGCGAGAUCUGCAUCAGGCUUCCAGACACCGUAAUAAAUUCGUGCUUUAAGCCAAUGAAUUCAUGAUAAUUUGUUACAGCAACAAAAAACAAAUAUGAAAAAGGUGACAGGUCCUGUUUAAAAACGUUCAGCUGUCCGGACGCCCUUGCCGCUGGGGAUGGCCGUGUGGCCCACUUCUGGUCACUUAGGUACCAGCAGAGCCGCACAGGGUGGGGUUUCCAGAAGAGCCACUGUUUGGCUG